AUAACUUUCUUCUAUCUCUCUCUCUUUUUCACCAUGUCUCACUCACUCUCAACAGUUUCAAUUUUCUGUUAGACACCCACAUCUACGAGCGAAAGUGGUGGCAUACAACAGUAAUGGAAACUACAUUUAAUCUGGCUUAUGCGAAGAGCUCCGUUACUGGAUAGCUCAGAGGGCACUUUAUCACAGCACUCACAUCCUUCUCCUCCUUCGACGACGCCGAACAACAGGCAGCUGACAGGCAACAGGAACGGAGGAACUCAAGGUAACCCACACCCAGAGCACCGGGGCUGGUUCGGGCAAGCAGCCUCUCACCUCAAGGAGCAAAUGCUGCAGAAAUGCUAAAAUGUUGACCAACCCAUGAGGAUGAUGAUGAUGAUGGCAGGGGGGGAAACUUUAUGCACUGCAAAGUUGUUUCCUUUGUUUUUCGCUCUCCAACCGAAAACUGAAAGCCAACAACAACAUUGUUGCCCAGUUUUCUCCAUUUCGAUGCACAGUUUUCCGUAUUUCGAUGCACAGUUUUCCCUAUUUUGAUGCCCAGCCUUGCCUCUUUUGAUGCGCAGUUUUCCCUCUUAAUUUGGGAAAAUGCGGAAUUUCCUGCACGUAUCGACAUCGAUGACCGCAGCCGAACAAAGCCAAUGAAAAUUUACACCUGUCGACCGCAUAGGAAUUGCAAACAAAUUUAAAUAUGCUUUGUGGUCGUCGGUAUAGCCUGGUCCUCAGGAAUAGGCCAUAAAUAAUUGAUGGCCGAGUAAUUAUAUUUUCCGCAUUUAAGCAGCAAAGCCACAGAACUCGAACGAAAAUUUAAUUUUAUUGCUAAAUUAUGCAGUGGCCCGGAUAGAUAAAAUAUCAAUUCAUUUCCAUGGUCCUUUCCUUAAACAAAUUUCCAACACAUUUCAUGAUUAUUUGUCUAAGGAAAAGCAAUGAAAUUUAAGUAGAAAUUUCCCUUCCAACUAAUUGCAGGCUGCCUUUCAAAUGUGCCACAAAAGUUUCCUUUAAUUAGCGGACGCUCCUGACAGCACAAAACUUUCAAAGUUUUAUGCACAUAGAAAUAAAUUUCCAUUUACUUUUCCCAUCA